CUUGAUGCCUAAAUUAUUUUGUAAUCUGGCCUUUGCCAACUUAACUUCUCAUAGAAUUCUACCAUAUACCCAAGGCAUACAGACAUAACAUGAAAACUCCCUGCCAAAAACAAAACAAAUUCUACUUCAUAGGAUGAUUAAUGUUGUUAUGGAAGCUGGAGGCUGAGAAGUCCCAUUAUCUGCCACCAGUACGAGCCAGAAUCCCAGGAAAACUCAUGGUAUAAUUUCAACCUGAAUCCAGAGGCCUGAGAACGAGGAGAGCCACUGAUAUAAAGAAUCCUAUACUGACAAAGAAGACUUCUUUAACACUGACAAAGAAGAUUCACCAGAAUUUAGGGCUCAAUGUUUCCAGCUUCAUCAAGGUCUUCCAACACAUCUCUGUGGCAAUUAUAGGAUAGCAUUUUUUUU
rnacentral:lncRNA from 1 species